UACAGAGGUCCCGAGCGUUGUUCGGAUUCACUGGGCGUAAAGGGUGCGUAGGUGGCUUGAAAAGUUUGAUGUGAAAGCUCAGGGCUUAACCCUGAAAUGGCAUUGAAAACUGUCGGGCUGGAGGUUUGGAGGGGGGACUGGAAUUCAUGGUGUAGCAGUGAAAUGCGUAGAGAUCAUGAGGAAGACCAGUGGCGAAGGCGGGUCUCUGGACAGUUCCUGACACUGAGACACGAAGGCCAGGGGAGCAAACGGGG
rnacentral:rRNA from 1 species